AUUGAACGCUGGCGGCAGGCCUAACACAUGCAAGUCGAACGAGUGGCGGACGGGUGAGUAAUGUCUGGGAAACUGCCUGAUGGAGGGGGAUAACUACUGGAAACGGUAGCUAAUACCGCAUACCAUCGGAUGUGCCCAGAUGGGAUUAGCUUGUUGGUGGGGUAACGGCUCACCAAGGCGACGAUCCCUAGCUGGUCUGAGAGGAUGACCAGCGACGUGGGAACGGAGUCACGUUCCAGACUCCUACGGGAGAUAGGAGCGGGGAAUAUUUCACAAGGGGUGGGAGCUUGAUGCAGCCACGCCGCGGGGAUGAAGAAGUCCUUCGGGUUUUAAAGUAUUUUCAGCGGGGAGGCGUUACUCGCAGCAGAAGCACCGGCUAACUCCGUGCCAGCAGCCGCGUUUAUAC
rnacentral:rRNA from 1 species